GGAUAGCUCAGUUGGUAGAGCAAGUGACUGUUAAUCACUGGGUCGCAGGUUCGAGUCCUGCUC
rnacentral:tRNA from 1 species